AACGAACGCUGGCGGCAGGCCUAAUACAUGCAAGUCGAGCGGAGCGUCGGACGGGUGAGUAAUGUCUGGGAACCUGCCUGAUGGAGGGGGAUAACGACCGGAAAAGGGCGCAAAUACAGCAUACUAUUCGAUGAGCCCAGGUCCGAUUAGAUAGUGGGUGGGGUAGAGGCCUACUAAGGCAACGACCCGUAACUGGUCUGAGAGGAUGAUCAGUCACACUGGAACUGAGACACGGUCCAGACUCCUAGGGGAGGCAGCAGUGGGGAAUAUUGGACAAUGGGCGAAAGCCUGAUCCAGCAAUGCCGCGUGUGUGAAGAAGGUCUUCGGAUUGUAAAGCACUUUAAGUUGGGAGGCGUUACCAACAGAGUAAGCACCGGCUAACUACGUGCCAGCAGCCGCGGUAAUUC
rnacentral:rRNA from 1 species